GAUGAACGCUGGCGGCGUGCCUAAUACAUGCAAGUCGAGCGAACAGACGCGGAGCUUGCUCCUCUGACGUUAGCGGCGGACGGGUGAGUAACACGUGGAUAACCUACCUAUAAGACUGGGAUAACUUCGGGAAACCGGAGCUAAUACCGGAUAAUAUAUUGAACCGCAUGGUUCAAUAGUGAAAGACGGUUUUGCUGUCACUUAUAGAUGGAUCCGCGCCGCAUUAGCUAGUUGGUAAGGUAACGGCUUACCAAGGCAACGAUGCGUAGCCGACCUGAGAGGGUGAUCGGCCACACUGGAACGGAGACACGGUCCAGACUCCUACGGGAGGCAGCAGUAGGGAAGCGUCCGCAAUGGGCGAAAGCCUGACGGAGCAACGCCGCGUGAGUGAUGAAGGUCUUCGGAUCGUAAAACUCUGUUAUUAGGGAAGAACAAAUGUGUAAGUAACUAUGCACGUCUUGACGGUACCGAAUCAGAAAGCCACGGCUAACUACGUG
rnacentral:rRNA from 1 species